GCCACUCAGGUACAUAAGAGUCAGUCAGCAGUUCCAAUUAGAGGAUCGGAAAAGAAAUGGGAUUCUAGGGGAGAGUGGAACCAAUGGCUGGGCUGGAACCUGCAUGCCAGCACCUCCCCCACAUGCUGUUGGUCAAGCCAGAUUCAAGAGAUGGGGAAACAGACUCCGCCUCUGGAUGCCGCAAAGUCCCACGGCAAAGGGCAGGAAUAUAGAGAUCCUCUGGGACUUUUCAAAAUGCCCCAAUUCAAGGAAAGCUCUGAGGAUGUAGUAAUUAUAAUCCCAGGUCAGCUGGGAAGGAAGAAAAAGAAGGAAAGAAGAAAAACAGGAGGAACACACAAUCUCCAAAUACAUAUUUCUAUUGUAAUAGUAUAGUGUGAGUAAAUAUUGUGUGCUUUAUUCAAUUUUCCUAAAUGCAUAAAAUAAAAAUAU
rnacentral:lncRNA from 1 species